UGCAACGUCCACUCCGGGUCGUCUCGCUUGGAACUAGGCCCCGCGAGAAUGGCAGCCGGCCACGCACCGUGCCUCAGCCUGGUUGCGUGUGCAUUAGCGCUCGCGCAUGCGCGUCGCAAUUUGACGAAUCUAACCUGGAAAAAAGGAAGAAGAAUAGAAACAGAAGUGACGUAGGAAAUUCUUUUUGUUGAGAUUAUGGCAAACGGUUUUAAAGAGAGAUAUUAUUGGUCAAUUCUGAUUUUGGUAAAUAAAGAGAGAAGGGAUAUUGAAAUAAAGAAGAAGGAGAGAAGAUGAUAUGGAUGGAAUAUAAUACGUUAUCUGCAAGUUACGUUUCAUUUUCGACCACUCGUCGAAGGAAAGAGUUUUUAGAACAGUUGCCAAAAAAAUUGUCGAUGGCUUGUUGGAAGCUCGCAGUGAAGCGUGUUGGGUGACCAUCGUUAGCGAGAACGAGCGAGAGAAUGCAGGAACGAAGCAAGAGGACAAGUUAGCGUGCUAAGAGUGCGGAGAGCGUUCACCCUGGCCGGUGCGUCGGCCCUUCGCACAGCGUUUCUCAAACCUAAGCGAUAUUCUGCGUUUACGAGUUUGGCCCUUAGGGAGAACGUUCGAAGGGUGUCAAAAAACGAGUAAAAAUUGGGGUUGAUUUCAACGGAGAGUAUUGAUGCGCGGUAUACAGUCGAAAAUGGAAGAAUUUUAUCGAGUCGAGAAAAUAAUAAACUGAGAAUUCAAGAUUUUUAAUCAAUCAUUGUACAAUUUUCUAAUUAUUAAUACGAUUGAUUUUCGAUUGAAAAAUUGAAAAUAUUAAAAAUUUCUACCAAUUCUAACGAUCAAGCAUAGCCGAGAAAUCGUUGCAGCGAUUUUGGCGAUAUGUUGAGUCGCGCACGUACGCCACCCUUGGAGACUAUCGUUCGAAGGCAUCGUUUCGUCGAUGUCUUUUUGCCAUUUCAUCGAAGUCGCAAGAAUUCGAAAGUCGAAGGACAUCGGUGGGGGCAAAAACACGCGCGAGCAUCCUUUUCGAACGCAUUGACGCGUACGUCAUAUAUGAGAAAACGCGCAUUCUUGGUCUCGCAUUCCAAACCCGAGAACCAGAUGGAAUAAAUUGGCCUGCAAAGCAUCGACUUUAUGCCGAUGAUCUCGUUAGAUGAUCGUACGUAAUUCUGGUUUCGAGAUUAUUGCCCAUUAUGGUUAUACUCGUACCAGAUAUAUAUUCUUGGAUAAUUCGAGCACCCCUUAAAUUUGAAUAUUAACAAGCUACAUUAUUCCUUAUGCACGGCUUGCUAUAAAUUGUCAAGUGUUAAUUUUAAAAAUUCAGAUAUUUCAGAUAUAAUUCCUUAUCAUGUCCAAUUAAUCAUACAUAGAAAAAUACCAAUCUCAUAAAUUUCUAUCAAUCUCAAAUAUACAUCGAACGACAAAACUA